GUUUAAAUGCUGCAAACGGUACCCUUUUCCGUUCAACUAGGAGUGCAGUCAGUAACACAGCCAGGCUUUUGGGUCAUUGAGCUGCGGCUAGCCACAGUUGGUAUUCUCUUUUUUUCUCUAGCUUCGGCUUCUACUGCAGUAGACACUUGAGUAGUUGGUUCUUCGGAUGGGAUCGGUCCAUCGAACGCCAACCUUAGUCAAUCGGCC